rnacentral:rRNA from 1 species
GAACUUUCCAGAGAUGGAUUGGUGCCUUCGGGAACUGUGAGACAGGUGCUGCAUGGCUGUCGUCAGCUCGUGUUGUGAAAUGUUGGGUUAAGUCCCGCAACGAGCGCAACCCUUAUCCUUUGUUGCCAGCGGUCCGGCCGGGAACUCAAAGGAGACUGCCAGUGAUAAACUGGAGGAAGGUGGGGAUGACGUCAAGUCAUCAUGGCCCUUACGACCAGGGCUACACACGUGCUACAAUGGCGCAUACAAAGAGAAGCGACCUCGCGAGAGCAAGCGGACCUCAUAAAGUGCGUCGUAGUCCGGAUUGGAGUCUGCAACUCGACUCCAUGAAGUCGGAAUCGCUAGUAAUCGUGGAUCAGAAUGCCACGGUGAAUACGUUCCCGGGCCUUGUACACACCGCCCGUCACACCAUGGGAGUGGGUUGCAAAAGAAGUAGGUAGCUUAACCUUCGGGAGGGCGCUUACCACUUUGUGAUUCAUGACUGGGGUGAAGUCGUA